rnacentral:rRNA from 1 species
AUCUAAGCGGGAAACUAGCCUCAAGAUGAGAUCUCACUGGAACCUUGAGUUCCCUGAAGGGCCGUCGAAGACUACGACGUUGAUAGGUUGGGUGUGUAAGCGCUGUGAGGCGUUGAGCUAACCAAUACUAAUUGCCCGUGAGGCUUGACCAUAUAACACCCAAGCAAUU